CACAGUCCCAGCUCCGCAUAGCAAUGUUUGAUGUGCUCAUGCGGCGUUUGUGACUGUAAGAUGAAAGCCCAGCCCAUAUUAUAUCGUGUUGUUGGUGGUGUUUGUGCAUCAACGAUGAAAGAGUAUAAGGCACACUA
rnacentral:snoRNA from 1 species